GACGUCCUUUUUAAACCAAACAUGAUAUGAUUUGCAUACAACUAAAAGUUUGAAUAUCGACUUAUAUAAAUUUGUCUUAUUCCAAAUUAUUGAAUAUAUUAUAUCAGUAAUAAAAUACACAUUUAUCGAUGUCACUUUCAUACACGUUUAAAUGAAGUACAACUGUUUUUUUCGAGGCAAUUGCGAAAGUGCCGACAACACUUAUUUGUUGCAAUAUUUUUUGACCGAACCCGAAAAACACAUGGCCAAGACCCGACAUGGAGCUCAUUUUUUCCCAAACAAAUACAAGAAUGUGAUUAACAAACCCUCGACAUUUUCAUUUGACAUGCUACCCGUGUUUUUUUUAAAAAAAAAUCAAAAAAAUAAAACAAAACCUAAACAAACCCUCGCCGUUUUCAUUUGACAUAUUCAUUCUCUCAACCCUAAACAAACUCACUCACUCGUCGCCUCCUCUCCGUCGUUGGCUCGUCGAUCGUCUGUUCGUCGCUUCUUCUCAGUCGUCGGUCGUCGCAUCUUCUCAGUCGUCGGUCGUCGCAUCUUCUCAGUCAUCGGCUUUUCACUUCCUCUUAGUGGUCGCCUCGUCGCCUCCUCUCAGUCGUCGCCGUUGGUCGUCGCGUCGUCGGAGUCUCAGAGAUAAUCAGAAAAUGGUGAGUUACUGAGUUUGUGUAAUUUCGUCAAUGAUUCCUUAAUUUUCUUAGGAUUUAGCCGUUUAGGCCUUUAGAAUUAGGGUUAACUUUCUUUCUCUUUCCUCUAAUCCUCUCUAAUGGCAGUUUGAACUUUGAAUAAAUCGGCCGAGUUCUCCGAGCCUCAGUUUGUCCGAUUUCGACAGGCAGUUCACAGAAAGAAUCACAGUUGUUCAGUAACAGAAAUCCAGAAGCGGAAGGGCCAAACUAAUCAAGUCCAUCAAGCAGUGAGUCAUCAAUUUCCCUAAAAUUAUGUGUUCAUGGUGUCAUAUUGGAGCUGUCAAAUUAAGGAAAAUAAGG